UGGGGGAUAUUGCACAAUGGGCGAAAGCCUGAUGCAGCGACGCCGCGUGGGGGAUGAAGGCCUUCGGGUUGUAAACUUCUUUUGCUCUGAACAAGGCAUGCUAAUGGGUGUGUUGAGUGUAGGGGUUGAUUAGCGCCGGCUAACUACGUUCCAGCAGCCGCGGUAAUCCGUAGGGCGCGAGCGUUGUCCGGAAUUAUUGGGCGGAAAGGGCUUGUAGGUGGCUGGUUGCGUCUGUCGUGAAAGCUCAUGGCUUAACGGUGGGUUUGGGGUGGGUACGGGCUGGCUUGAGUGCAGUAGGGGAGGCUGGAAUUCCUGGUGUAGCGGUGGAAUGCGCAGAUAUCAGGAGGAAUACCGGUGGCGAAGGCGGGUCUCUGGGCUGUUACUGACACUGAGGAGCGAAAGCAUGGGGAGCGAACAGG
rnacentral:rRNA from 1 species